rnacentral:rRNA from 1 species
UAGGGAAUCUUCGGCAAUGGACGAAAGUCUGACCGAGCAACGCCGCGUGAGUGAAGAAGGUUUUCGGAUCGUAAAACUCUGUUGUUAGAGAAGAACAAGGACGUUAGUAACUGAACGUCCCCUGACGGUAUCUAACCAGAAAGCCACGGCUAACUACGUGCCAGCAGCCGCGGUAAUACGUAGGUGGCAAGCGUUGUCCGGAUUUAUUGGGCGUAAAGCGAGCGCAGGCGGUUUCUUAAGUCUGAUGUGAAAGCCCCCGGCUCAACCGGGGAGGGUCAUUGGAAACUGGGAGACUUGAGUGCAGAAGAGGGGAGUGGAAUUCCAUGUGUAGCGGUGAAAUGCGUAGAUAUAUGGAGGAACACCAGUGGCGAAGGCGGCUCUCUGGUCUGUAACUGACGCUGAGGCUAGAAAGCGUGGGGAGCAAACAGG